CCUACGGGAGGCAGCAGUGAGGAAUAUUGGUCAAUGGGCGAGAGCCUGAACCAGCCAAGUCGCGUGAGGGAGUACUGCCCUAUGGGUUGUAAACCUCUUUUGUCGGGGAGCAAAAGCCGGACGUGUCCGGCUGUGAGAGUACCCGAAGAAAAAGCAUCGGCUAACUCCGUGCCAGCAGCCGCGGUAAUACGGAGGAUGCGAGCGUUAUCCGGAUUUAUUGGGUUUAAAGGGUGCGCAGGCGGAUUUUUAAGUCAGCGGUAAAAUCGUGGGGCUCAACCCCAUCCAGCCGUUGAAACUGGGGAUCUAGAGUGUGCGAGAGGUAUGCGGAAUGCGUGGUGUAGCGGUGAAAUGCAUAGAUAUCACGCAGAACCCCGAUUGCGACGGCAGCAUACCGGUGCACAACUGACGCUCAGGCACGAAAGCGUGGGUAUCGAACAGGAUUAGAUACCCCAGUAGUC
rnacentral:rRNA from 1 species